rnacentral:lncRNA from 1 species
AGACACCCACAUGAAAACCGGAAGGCAGCCUUGAGUGUCGUGUGAUAAGUUUAUCGGCGCCAUCUCGCCAGCCACCCCCUCCCCAGGGUCUCGAUCAAUGGGACACAGUGCGCCUCCAGUCUGAGAGGCUUCCUUGGGUGGGUGGUGGGACUGCAAGGUGGCCCUUUGGCAGAGUCUACAAGAGCUAAAUGAGGUAGCCAAGUGGCCCAUUACCCACAUAAUCUAGCCCUACCUUCCAGAACAACUGAGAAAUGCCUCGGUGGGCAGAGCCUCAAGUCCACCAGAUAACAGGCCCCAACUUGACCUCUCUUCAUCAGAAAUCACUGCCAAGUUUCCAAGCCAGGGAAAGAGCAACAUUUGUGAGGCCUGUUCCACACACCCACCUAUGAUCCUCUCACUGGAGGCAGAGUCACCAGCCUAGAACAGAGCUGAAGAAAGACAGAUACUCUGUGU